CAUGUGACUGUAAGGGCAACACUGUUGAGGUGAGUCUCAUCUCUUACCAUGUGACUGUAAGGGCACCACUGUUGAGGUGAGUCUCAUCUCUUGCCAUGUGACUGUAAGGGCAACACUGUUGAGGUGAGUCUCAUCUCUUGCCAUGUGACUGUAAGGGUAACACUGUUGAGGUGAGUCUCAUCUCUUGUCAUGUGACUGUAAGGGCAACACUGUUGUGGUGAGUCUCAUCUCUUGCCAUGUGACUGUAAGGGUAACACUGUUGAGGUGAGUCUCAUCUCUUACCAUGUGACUGUAAGGGCACCACUGUUGAGGUGAGUCUCAUCUCUUGCCAUGUUACUGUAUGCCAACACUGUUGAGGUGAGUCUCAACUCUUGCCAUGUGACUGUAAGGGCAACACUGUUGUGGUGAGUCAUCUCUUGCCA